CCUACGGGAGGCUGCAGUGAGGAAUAUUGGUCAAUGGGCGCUAGCCUGAACCAGCCAAGUAGCGUGAAGGAUGACUGCCCUAUGGGUUGUAAACUUCUUUUAUAUGGGAAUAAAGUGCAGUAUGUAUACUGCUUUGCAUGUACCUUAUGAAUACGGAUCGGCUAACUCCGUGCCAGCAGCCGCGGUACUACGGAGGAUUCGAGCGUUAUCCGGAUUUGUUGGGUUUAAAGGGAGCGUAGGCGGGUGGUUAAGUCAGUUGUGAAAGGUUGCGGCUCAACCGUAAAAUUGCAGUUGAUACUGGCAUCCUUGAGUACAGUAGAGGUAGGCGGAAUUCGUGGUGUAGCGGUGAAAUGCUUAGAUAUCACGAAGAACUCCGAUUGCGAAGGCAGCCUGCUGGACUAUAACUGACGCUGAUGCUCGAAAGUGUGGGUAUCAAACAGGAUUAGAUACCCUAGUAGUC
rnacentral:rRNA from 1 species